rnacentral:tRNA from 1 species
GGAGGUUUGGCCGAGUGGCUUAAGGCGCACGCUUGGAAAGCGUGUGUAGGGUAACACCUACCGUGAGUUCGAAUCUCACAGCCUCCGCCA